rnacentral:lncRNA from 1 species
AUGUUAUAGCCUUAUUUCUUUCUUAUAGCUUUGAUUACCAUUUCUAUACCCGGGUUGGGGCCCUUUGAUGUAUAUGCAUGCUUUGCUAGGAAAGUCUCAUGAGCUUUAGACUUAUAGAUCUAUCUUCUCAUUUUGUUACCAUCCUCUUAUCACCCUAUUUGUUCUAUUUUAUUAUCACAACAUAUUCAUUCUCUUUCUUGUCUAUCAUUAUUC